rnacentral:rRNA from 1 species
ACAGCAGCCGCCGCGGUAAUACGUAGGUCCCGAGCGUUGUCCGGAUUUAUUGGGCGUAAAGCGAGCGCAGGCGGUUAGAUAAGUCUGAAGUUAAAGGCUGUGGCUUAACCAUAGUACGCUUCGGAAACUGUUUAACUUGAGUGCAAGAGGGGAGAGUGGAAUUCCAUGUGUAGCGGUGAAAUGCGUAGAUAUAUGGAGGAACACCGGUGGCGAAAGCGGCUCUCUGGCUUGUAACUGACGCUGAGGCUCGAAAGCGUGGGGAGCAAACAGGAUUAGAUACCCCUGUAGUCCCUGUCUCUUAUACC